rnacentral:lncRNA from 1 species
CUCCACAUCUUUUUUGGGGCCGCUGUCAUCACCACCAUCACCUCCUCUUCCUUCACCAUCACCAUCAACACCAUUGCCACUUUUUUCUGAUCCACCACAAUUGCCACCUCUUCCAGAUCCACCACCAUUUUCUUAUCAACGACAACCGUCAUCUAUUUUUCUUUUUCUCCAUCAUCAUCACUAUCAACACCACAACAAUCAUCACCUUUUCCUUCGGCGUCACCA